UUGGCCGUGAGUGCCUUUUUCCAUUCCCUAACUUCACCAAAUUUUCCAUUCUUCACCAUUUGGUUCCAUUUCAAGCUUGGAAGCUCUAAGGAAAAGUGUAGAGAAUCACUUGCUUAAGGGCGCGCGAAAGUGUAGAAUUGUUCGAAGUUGUUUGAAAUUGGAAGCUUGCCGAGAUGAUGGUGUGCCACUUGAGGCCGUUGGUCGUGAGGAUGGCGAGGACUUCGUGGAUUAUGCCGGAGAGUAGAUGGUAGCUUUGGUUAGGCUACAUUUUUGUUUAGGCUUAGGGCCUAGUUUCUUUUGGAUGACUGUAUAGUAUACUCAGACAUGUUUAGUGCCUUUUGGCCGUGCGAUACAUUCGGUUCACGAGUUCUGUUUUGUUUAGGUAUGUGAACUUGAUGUAUCCUUUUGGAAUGUAAAUUAUUCAGGUGCACACUUUGCUUCUCGGAAGCCCGUGAAAUACAAUCUUUGAUAUUGUAUAUUGA